AAAGAGCUUGUCAUUGAUGAAGAUAGCUGUGAUUAUUUAUUUCACUGUCUUUGAGUCAUGGAAAAUUGGCAAAACAUGAGAAAUACCUUUAAUAAAGCCCAAACACUCCACUUCCUGUUGAAUUCAAUACCAGGAUAGCUCUUUUUGCUAAAGAAGAGAGACUCAUCAAGAAGAAUCAGGAGUAAUAAAGGACCUUGAGACUAUUGCAAACAUUGUUGAGAAGAUUCUGAUAUUCUUACGUCCUCUGAUUUCUUAGUUGGUUUACAUUUCUCCCCAUCCUCCACCCACACCUCCGCACUAUGGAAAAUAUGGUACAUGUUUCAUUUAUUAUACAGAAUGGUUUGGCAAGGAAGCCUUGACCAAGACAAAUUUCCAAUAAUAAAGCCUGUAACAUUAUCCAAGGAAGUAAGGAAAUUGACCUCAAGAUCCACAUUAGGAGCUAAGGAGUUGGAGCUCUGAGUUAUUAGGACUGGAAUGGAAUUGUGAGCCACUAAACUUUCAAGCUUAUGAGCACUUCAUGUCAGGGCUGACAAAACUGGCUUGCUUGAGGCAAGCUGAAGUGAACAUGGUCUGUGAUUGCCAAUGGAUAUCUUAAAUGCACUCAGAUGGAAUCCAAAAAAUAAAAAAGAAAUGCAGAGUUUCAUAUUAUGUAUGCAACACUUGAAAGUACACAAAAUAAUACUGAGAUUGAUUUUAAUAUAAUAUAUGUGAGGAAACAUACACAGUUGCAUGAUAAUAAUAAAUACCAACUUCAAAUAGUGGUUAUCUCUAGAGAGACAGGGAUAGGGGAAACAUCAGGAAGGAAGACAGAAAGCUUCAGCUGGAUAUACGAAAAUUUUGUUUAAAAAAAAAUCUAGAGACUUCCCUGGUGGCCCAGCAGUUAAAACUUUGAGCUCCCAACACAAAGGGCCCAGGUUUGACCUGGUCAGGGAACUAGAUCCCACACGCCACAACUAAGAGUCUGCAUUCCUCAACUAAGGAUCCCAUAUACCUCAACAAAGACUUGGCACAGCCAAAUAAAGAAAAAAUAACUAUUUUUAAAAUUUAAAAUAUGGGACAAGAAUGGUUCUUUGGUAGAGUCUUACAGAACCAUCAGUGGGUACAGAAAGUAUCAAAUAUAUUAUUUGGGGAAUGUUUCUAUCUGUUUGAAGUAUUUCUUAACGAAAGAAAAAUUUAAUAUAUGUUCUACUUCUCCCAUUUUGUAUUUGUGUGAUCCCCAGCCUCCCUUUUAUCUAGUUGCAAAUAAGAUCAAAUAAUACUGGAUGAGCUGUUGAGAGAAGUUCAGGAGACACUCAGAAACCAAUCAAGACGUCUGCACAGGGUAUGGAAGAGGGCUCCGGAGUGGCCAGGGACCAGGGUGCGUGGUGGUCUAGACCAGCCCAUCGGAUAUGCGGCAUGCAGUGGUCAUGCUCUACUCAAAGAGAGAUGGUCCAUUUCUUUUGGACCAGAGCAGCUUGGAGGAAUGAAGCUGGGUUCUGACAUUCCAGUGAAAACAGAAAGGAUUGGAUUUGCAAGCCUCUCUGCUUACUUUGGCUGGCCAAGAUUGCUCUUUCCACAUCUGUCCUCAGGUUCGGGGAAGCCAAAUAUGUAGAUGUAAAUGUAUACAGUGGUUCCUGCCCAUCAGCACUUCAGGAACCCAGGUCCAACCUUGCAGAUCCAUAGGGCUGACCACCACCUGCAGGCACCCGAGCAGACUAGGGACUGAAAACAGCUGAGAGAAAAGAAGCCACUUUGUUUUUUCUUUUUUCUUGAAGUAUACUUGAUUUAAAAUGUUGUGAUAGCUUCUGGUUUACAGCAACGUGAUUCAGAUACAUAGAUAUUCUUUUUCAUUUUCUUUUCCAUUGUGGUUUAUUAUAGGAUAUGGAAUAUAGUUCCCUGUGCUAUACAGUAGGAUCUAUUUCAUAUACAGUAGUUUGCAUCUGCUAAUCCCAAACUCCUAGUUUAUCUCUCCUCCCCGCUCUCCUCUUUGGUAACCAUAAAUUUGUUUACAAUGUCUCUGAGUUUGUUUCUGAUUUGUAAAUAAAUCCAU
ensembl:lncRNA